rnacentral:snRNA from 1 species
GUGCUCACUUCGGCAGCACAUAUACUAAAUUUGGAAAGAUACAGAGAAGAGUAGCAUGGCCCCU